rnacentral:rRNA from 1 species
AUUGAACGCUGGCGGCAGGCCUAACACAUGCAAGUCGAGCGAGCGGCGGACGGGUGCGUAAUGUAUGGGGACUGCCCGAUAGAGGGGGAUAACUACUGGAAACGGUAGCUAAUACCGCAUACUAUCGGAUAACCCAUAUGGGAUUAGCUAGUAGGUGAGGUAAUGGCUCACCUAGGCGACGAUCCCUAGCUGAUCUGAGAGGAUGAUCAGCCCACCUGGGAAUGAGCCAAGGCCCAGACUCCGACGGAGGCAGCAGUGGGGAAUAUUGCACAAUGGGCGCAAGUCUGAUGCAGCCAUGCCGCGUGUAUGAAGAAGGCCCUAGGGUUGUAAAGUACUUGCAGUCGGGAGGCGUUACCGAAAGAAGAAGCACCGGCUAACUCCGUGCCAGCCGCCGCGGUAAUUC